UUGGUUUAAAUCAUUGUGGGUCUACACCUUAAAAAUUGAACUCACACAAAGUAGUUGGACAUACAUUGAUUUCAUCUAA
rnacentral:pre_miRNA from 1 species